rnacentral:rRNA from 2 species
UGCAGAAUCCCGCGAACCAUCGAGAAUUUGAACGCAAGUUGCGCCCGAGGCCAGCUGGCCAAGGGCACGUCCGCCUGGGCGUCAAGC